rnacentral:rRNA from 1 species
GCGAUCAUACCAGCACUAAUGCACCGGAUCCCAUCAGAACUCCGCAGUUAAGCGUGCUUGGGCGAGAGUAGUACUAGGAUGGGUGACCCCCUGGGAAGUCCUCGUGUUGCACUCC